GACGAACGCUGGCGGCGUGCCUAAUACAUGCAAGUUGAGCGCUGAAGGUUGGUACUUGUACCAACUGGAUGAGCAGCGAACGGGUGAGUAACGCGUGGGGAAUCUGCCUUUGAGCGGGGGACAACAUUUGGAAACGAAUGCUAAUACCGCAUAAAAACUUUAAACACAAGUUUUAAGUUUGAAAGAUGCAAUUGCAUCACUCAAAGAUGAUCCCGCGUUGUAUUAGCUAGUUGGUGAGGUAAAGGCUCACCAAGGCGAUGAUACAUAGCCGACCUGAGAGGGGGGUCGGCCGAAAUGGGACGGGGAAACGGCCCAAACGCCUAGGGGAGGCGGCAGGAGGGAAUCUUCGGCAAUGGAGGGAAGUCUGACCGAGCAACGCCGCGGGAGUGAAGAAGGUUUUCGGAUCGUAAAACUCUGUUGGUGGGGAAGAACGUUGGUGAGAGUGGAAAGCUCAUCAAGUGACGGUAACUACCCAGAAAGGGACGGCUAACUACGUG
rnacentral:rRNA from 1 species